rnacentral:rRNA from 1 species
UGGGGAAUCUUGGACAAUGGGGGCAACCCUGAUCCAGCCAUGCCGCGUGAGUGAUGAAGGCCUUAGGGUCGUAAAGCUCUUUCGCCUGUGAAGAUAAUGACGGUAGCAGGUAAAGAAACCCCGGCUAACUCCGUGCCAGCAGCCGCGGUAAUACGGAGGGGGUUAGCGUUGUUCGGAAUUACUGGGCGUAAAGCGCACGUAGGCGGACCAGAAAGUUGGGGGUGAAAUCCCGGGGGCUCAACCCCGGAACUGCCUCCAAAACUAUUGGUCUAGAGUUCGAGAGAGGUGAGUGGAAUUCCAAGUGUAGAGGUGAAAUUCGUAGAUAUUUGGAGGAACACCAGUGGCGAAGGCGGCUCACUGGCUCGAUACUGACGCUGAGGUGCGAAAGUGUGGGGAGCAAACAGGAUUAGAUACCCUGGGUA